rnacentral:rRNA from 1 species
GGGGGCCCGCAAGCGGUGGAGCAUGUGGUUUAAUUCGAUGCAACGCGAAGAACCUUACCUGGUCUUGACAUCCACAGAAUCUUGCAGAGAUGCGAGAGUGCCUUCGGGAACUGUGAGACAGGUGCUGCAUGGCUGUCGUCAGCUCGUGUUGUGAAAUGUUGGGUUAAGUCCCGCAACGAGCGCAACCCUUAUCCUUUGUUGCCAUUGGUUCGGCCGGGAACUCAAAGGAGACUGCCGUUGAUAAAGCGGAGGAAGGUGGGGACGACGUCAAGUCAUCAUGGCCCUUACGACCAGGGCUACACACGUGCUACAAUGGCGUAUACAAAGGGAGGCGACCUCGCGAGAGCAAGCGGACCUCAUAAAGUACGUCUAAGUCCGGAUUGGAGUCUGCAACUCGACUCCAUGAAGUCGGAAUCGCUAGUAAUCGUGAAUCAGAAUGUCACGGUGAAUACGUUCCCGGGCCUUGUACACACC